UACGAAGGGGGCUAGCGUUGCUCGGAAUCACUGGGCGUAAAGCGCACGUAGGCGGCUUUCUAAGUCAGAGGUGAAAUCCUGGAGCUCAACUCCAGAACUGCCUUUGAUACUGAGGAUCUUGAGUUCGGGAGAGGUGAGUGGAACUGCGAGUGUAGAGGUGAAAUUCGUAGAUAUUCGCAAGAACACCAGUGGCGAAGGCGGCUCACUGGCCCGAUACUGACGCUGAGGCACGAAAGCGUGGGGAGCAAACAGG
rnacentral:rRNA from 1 species